rnacentral:rRNA from 1 species
UACGUAGGGUGCGAGCGUUGUCCGGAAUUAUUGGGCGUAAAGGGCUCGUAGGCGGUUUGUCGCGUCGGGAGUGAAAACCAGGUGCUUAACACCUGGCUUGCUUUCGAUACGGGCAGACUAGAGGUAUGCAGGGGAGAACGGAAUUCCUGGUGUAGCGGUGAAAUGCGCAGAUAUCAGGAGGAACACCAGCGGCGAAGGCGGCGCUCUGGGCCGGUACUGACGCUGAGGAGCGAAAGCGUGGGGAGCAAACAGG